CCACGGUUUGGAAGCUUUAUUUUUUUGCUCUUUGCAAUAAAUAUUGUUGCUGCUAAUUCUUUGAGUCCACACUGCUUUUGUGAGUUGUAGCACUCACCCGAAGGUUUGCAGCUUCACUCCUGAAGCCAGUGAGACCACGAACCCAACGAGAGGAACGAAGAAUUCCAGACGCGCUGCAUUAAGAGCUGUAACACUCACUGCGAAGGUCUGCAGCUUCACUUUUGAAGCCAGCAAGACCACGAACCCAUCAGAAGGAAGAAACUCCAAACACAUCCGAGCAGCAGAAGGAACAAACUCCGGACACGCUGCCUUUAAGAACUGUGACACUCAGAGCGAGGGUCUGCGGCAUCACAUUUGAAGUCAGUGAGACCAAGAACCCACCGAUUCCGGACGCGAGCAGGUUGCUUCAGGGUAUAGACAUUUGGCACAGUACUGCAGCAUAAACCCAUCAAGAUUAAGGAAACCAUGGGGGCCGAGCAUGGUGGUUCACACCUGUAAUCCCAGCACUUUGGAAGGUUGAGGCUAAAUUGAACUCCUGGGCUCAAGCGAUCUUCCCAUCUCUGCCUCCUGAGUAGCUGGGACUACAGAUACAUGCCUGGCUUACUUUUAUUAUUUUAUGCAUCCAUCUUAUAACUAAAAUUAUCCACUUUUAAGUGUUAAAGUUUCUUGCAGGGAAUCAAUUUUCUUUAUGAAUACACUUAGUUUAGAGCUUCUGAAUUUUCUUAUUUUUCUAGGUUCUAAUUUGGAUCUAGCUGUUGCACAGCGAUCACCCUAGAGUAUCUUUUCACGCUCUCCUGGGUUAACACUACUGUGUCUGUCACUUUCUUGCACUCCUUUGUUGUUUGGCUGGGGUGCAUACUUGAGUAGUGCUCUCAGAGAAGAUCACUAUUUGAUAAAUAUCAGAGUCUUUGCUUAUCCAUUAAUAUCUAGGUUU
rnacentral:lncRNA from 1 species